rnacentral:rRNA from 1 species
CCUACGGGCGGCUGCAGUGAGGAAUAUUGGUCAAUGGGCGGAAGCCUGAACCAGCCAAGUAGCGUGCAGGAUGACGGCCCUACGGUUUGUAAACUGCUUUUAUACGGGAAUAACGCGCCUUACGUGUAGGGCUUUGCAUGUACCGUAUGAAUAAGGACCGGCUAAUUCCGUGCCAGCAGCCCCGGUAAUACGGAGGGUCCCGGCGUUAUCCGGGUUUAUUGGGUUUAAAGGGAGCGUAGGCCGGAUGUCAAGCGUGCUGUGAAAUGUCCGGGCUCAACCCGGGCCUUGCAGCGCGAACUGGCGGGCUUGAGUCCGGGGAAAGCAGGCGGAAUUCGUCGUGUAGCGGUGAAAUGCUUAGAUAUGACGAAGAACCCCGAUGGCGAAGGCAGCUUGCUGCAGCGGAACUGACGCUGAUGCUCGAAAGCGUGGGUAUCGAACAGGAUUAGAUACCCCAGUAGUC